GAGGUGGGCAAGUUAGUUGCUCCAAAAACAAGAUAAAAUGAUUGAGUUCUUUUCUCAAGCGGGAGUCGGAGUUUAUCUGCUCUGAGAGCCCCAGCAGCUACUAUUAAUGAGUGUCUGGAAUAUGUUCCUGGCAUUUCACCUACCCUCUCUCCAAUCCUUCCAAGAAACUCACAAAGCAGGGCUUUUUCUUGAACUUCUCUUCCUCACAACAGUUAAAUCAUCCAUUUAAAGAUGUCAAACAACCUCCGUGUUCUAAGAACUAUUUACUGAGCUCUACGGAGACACAGCUACAAGCACCACAUGCUGGACCCCUGAAUAUGGAGGGCCAACUACACUAGAAACACACACGCUAGCUGAGAAAGAUGGUGGCUUAAGGGGAAAAAGAAAGAAAGGGGAGUAGAAAUAGAAGAAAAGAAAUGAGAAGGAGAAAACAAAGGAGAAGGAAAACGAGAAAAGAAAAAUGUAGGAAAAAGUUGUAAGUGCUUACUACAUGCUGUGCCCAUAUUACACAGAGCGCACAUUUUCCAGCUUAGUCUUCACAGAAUGCUGCCAGUGUUAUGAUCCUCAUUUUAACAAUGAAGAAACUGGGAGAUUUGUUCAAAGUUACACACUAGUAAAAAAGUAAAUCUUGAGUGCAACAUAGGU
rnacentral:lncRNA from 1 species